rnacentral:rRNA from 1 species
CAGUCGCCGCGGUAACACAGAAGAUGCAAGCGUUAUCCGGAAUGAUUGGGCGUAAAGCGUCUGUAGGUGGCUUUUCAAGUCCGCCGUCAAAUCCCAGGGCUCAACCUGGGAACUGCAUUUGUGACUGUAGAGCUGGAGUGCGGCAGAGGGGGAUGGAAUUCCGCGUGUAGCAGUGAAAUGCGUAGAUAUGCGGAGGAACACCGAUGGCGAAGGCAAUCCCCUGGGCCUCCACUGACGCUCAUGCACGAAAGCGUGGGGAGCAAACAGGAUUAGAUACCCGCGUAGUCCCUGUCUCUUAUAC